GACGAACGCUGGCGGCGUGCUUAACACAUGCAAGUCGAACGGUGACCCAGGGCUUGCCCUGGUGAUCAGUGGCGAACGGGUGAGUAACACGUGGGGCAACCUGCCCCUGACUUCGGGAUAACUCCUCGAAAGAGGAGCUAAUACCGGAUACGACCACUUCGGACAUCCGAUGGUGGUGGAAAGUUUUUCGGUCAGGGAUGGGCCCGCGGCCUAUCAGCUAGUUGGUGGGGUAAUGGCCUACCAAGGCGACGACGGGUAGCCGGCCUGAGAGGGCGACCGGCCACACUGGGACUGAGACACGGCCCAGACUCCUACGGGAGGCAGCAGUGGGGAAUAUUGCGCAAUGGGCGAAAGCCUGACGCAGCGACGCCGCGUGAGGGAUGAAGGCCUUCGGGUUGUAAACCUCUUUCAGCAGGGACGAAGCGAAAGUGACGGUACCUGCAGAAGAAGCACCGGCUAACUACGUGCCAGCAGCCG
rnacentral:rRNA from 1 species